ensembl:lncRNA
AGGUCUGUCCAUGUACCCAGGUAGUCUAGCUUACCUUCCAUAGAGGUUUGCUGAGAAGUGGUGACUCACUGCUCAGUAGGAGUCUCUAGAAAUUGGAUCUGGUUCUGCUUGCUCCUGCGCAGUGCAGAGUGAGAAGGAAAAUAGUCCAAGUGAAGUUUGCUGGUUGACUUAUUUCUCAAAGCAUCCAAUUCAUUGGGAAGUUUUCCAAUAUCAGAUUUGCCAUAGAAUUAGAAAAAUUGCCCUACAAUGGAUUUCAUACCAUGUCAUGAGUUGUCUUUGCUACUUGUAUGACCUUUGUUGGCUUCUAUCAACACGUGGAAGACAAAAGAGCUACAGACUCUGAUGUAUGACUGAUGAAGCAAUAACCACAGUCAUGCCCAUAAGAGAUGAAGAAUGGAGCUGUGUACUACUUCAAGUACUUCUAUCUGGGGCACUCUUGAAUAUUCCGCUGAAUUCAUUUGGCUGCUGAGUACCUCAGCCCUGUCUGUGAAGCCUCUUUUCCUGUUCAAGUUUGCUAGCUUUCAUGUUCUUAUCUACAGUACUUCUAAAAGGUAAAGUCUACCCAGGGAAGUUCAAAAUCUGAGACUGUGUGACUUUAAGAACAGUAAAAAUACUCCCCUUGUCAUGGAACAGUUCCAGUGGUCUUCAGAGCAACUAUUUUUGUCUUGCAAAUAUGGGUAAAAGUUGUGGAUUUGUUUGCACAGUCUGCAUUUUUGUUCCCAACAAGUUAUUUUAGCUUGCAGUUGUUAUUCAGGUUAAGUGCUGGUAAAAACACUUUAUUUAAAUAUUAAUUGGAGAGAGUCCAAAGAAUACAUUUCAAGCAAAAGAAGCUGACACUUUCAGAUCCUGACCCAAAUAAAAUAUUUAAAUUUUGUUUGUCAGUGUAAUAUGGAAAGAUUUUAACUUUGCAGUGAAAACUUAUUCACUCAGACAGAAAAUGUAUUCACAUGAUGGGAACAAAUUUGGUAUAAUUGAGAUGCUGAUGUUCAUUAUCCUGGCCAUGCCAUGUACGAUACUUAAGGCAGACUGCACUGUUCAGCAUAAACAGAGUGCAGAAGUAAACCUUUUCACAU